UACGGCUCAUGGGGUUGGGGAGGUGAAAGGAGAUUUGGAUUUGGCCAGAAGGUGUUACAGAAAUGCUGUUAUUACUUCGGGAGCGGGGGUAUCGAAGCAGAAGCAGACCAUGGCGAUAGAGAUCGAACCCUUCACCGAGAGUAGUUCCGAACCGUUGGUCAUGCCAGCUGAAGAAACGGAGGAGAUAGAGCUCAUCCCGGGCAAGGCGGGCAAAACGGUGAAAAUAGGUUCGGGCUUGCCGGAACCUCUCCGGACGAAC
rnacentral:lncRNA from 1 species